rnacentral:sRNA from 1 species
AGCUUAGAAAUACACAAGAGUGUGUAUAAAGCGAUUAGAAUGAGUUGAGUUAGAGAAUAGGGUAGCAGAGAAUGAGUUUAGUUGAGCUGAGACAUGCAUGUUUAUUCUACCCAAAAGAAGUCUUUCUUUUGGGUUUAUUU